GAGAGCAUUUCACGGGUUUUGUUCAUUGGUCUUCAAAACCUGUGUAGGGUGUGAACAACGCUCUAGGUGGGUUCGAUUCCCAUCCGCUCCCGC
rnacentral:tRNA from 1 species